AGGUUGAGCGUGCUAUAGAGAGUUUCAGCAGCUGAUCUACAGGCUGGAAGGCUCAAGGCAAAACUUGGUGCUUAGGAGGGAGGCAUGAUCCAAAAUCAAACUGAAGGAUGUUUUCACACACUCCCGAGAUGCCACCUCCUAUGUUUGCACAGUUUUUGACACUCUUCCUCCAACUAUCAAAGAACGUUAUGAAGUUGCCCGUAAUACCAUGGGGAAAGAUCUGUGAAUCAGGACCCGCUGUUUGCCAGUGUUGAAUUUGUGGGAACUGUUACAAUCCCUCGUAUUUCUUUGACUCUUUUGUUUUGCUUGCUUCUAAUCGGUGCUGUAAGUGCUAAUGACUUGCACUAUGCUGGCUGAACUGAUAAAGUCAUCCUGGCUGUCCUUUAAAAAGCACUUCAGGCUGAUUGAGUUGUUUCUGGAAUAGCUGAGUCAGAGUCUGAAGCAGAAUUAAACUUUUUCCUUUUCAGUGGGUUCAGCUAAUUGCUAAUAGUGCAGAUAAUGUCUAACUUUGGGAUAAUUUGGAGUAAUAUGGAGCCAUCAGAAAACCCUUGGCAUAUAGUAGUAAGUCCUCCCAUGGCCUAGAUUCACUCUGGCUUCAUAUUGUAAUAAAUUUUGGCUAAGGUCUUCCAAAUAGAAAGUCUACCCAGUUUUUUCAACUGCUUGUGAACGGUUUAGAAACAGUUGCCAGAGCUCCUUGGGAAAAGUCCAGUGCAAACCCAGGAUCUAGCAUCUGCAGCAGUGGGCCAGUACAUUGUCCCAGGAGGCUACAUUGGCAGGAUGUCUUUGAUGCCUCAGCAAGAUUUUAGAGAUGCCCCCACUGUCCUCCUUGAGCAUGACCGCUUCUGUUUUCUCCCUCCCCCCUGACAACAUGGCUUGAAAAGGGGGCUGUAGUUUGUACCCCAACACCCACGCACAUCAGCAUACGUGAAUCCAAAGAGUCUAACAUCCUCUUCCACUUGUAUCCCUUCAGGGGACUAUCUCCAGAUCUGCACUAGAUUCAAAUUCCCAUGUCUGCCCCUUGUCCAGAUUAGAUCCAAACCUUCUGUUUGUCUUCAGAAAUGAGGAUGCGGGGGUAAAGUAGCGACAGCUGAUCCCCCUUGGACCCUUUGCAAUGUCGAUCGGAGAACCCAAUAGAAAACCCUCCUCCGUGAAUAGGAUAUAGUAUGAGGUGGGCAAAAUGCAGCUCACGGGCUGGAUGCAGCCCGUCAGGCCAGUCUAUCCAGCCUGCAGGGACCCUAAAGAAUUUAGAAAAUUAAUAUUUACCUGCCCCUGGCUUCCUGUCAUGCUGCCCUUGAUGACUCAGUAAGCAGCCCUCUGCCCAAAAUAAUUGCCCGCCCCUGGUCUAGUAUAAUGCUAAACCUUUGUGUAUUUAGGGUUUAUUGGGUGAUCCUUUGGAUUUGAAUGCCUUCUCCAGUGAUACAGUUGAAACUCUGUAGAAGGCAGGGUGGAUUUGCACCUUGUAGACUAACCAAAGUAAAUAGAUACUUAUAUAUGUAUAGUACUUGGAUUGUCAAGCAGCAAUUUUCCCAAGACAGAAUCAAGAUCUUGGUUAUCCCUUAUGGACUCAAUGUCAAAAGGCAGUAAUGUUUUGCAAUAAAAUGUGGGUGAUACACAAAUCAAGCACAUGGGGUUUUCUUUAGCAUUUGCUAGAAUAUGAUUAACUUCCAGACAGAGUAUGUAUUAGUGCAGGUCCCUAAUUUUUAAGAUGUGGUGUCUUGAUGAUAUGCUUAAUACACCUGGAGUCUCAUUUCUGCCCUGUAGCGCUCUCACUUCUGUUUUACAUAGGUUCUGGUAUGAUCCACGUCACCAGAGCAUCUGAGCACCCUCCAGUAAUGCAAUGAGCACCAUGGGUUCUGCAGACAUUUAUUCUUGCCUGUGAGCCAAGAACAUGCUUUCAACAUGUUUAUCUAUGACUUAGGGGAAAAUAAGAGUAACUGUCUAAUAAACUUUUCCAGUAACACAGAGUUGGGGAAUAGUAAAUGAUGAAGACAGGUCGCUGAUGCUGGCUAUCUGGAUCACUUGGUCAGCUGGGCAUAAGCAAACACGAUCAUCAUGACACAGAUGUGAAGACCUGCAUCUGUGGACAAAGAUAUAGAGUAUACUUAUAGGCUGGGGGACUCUAUCCUGGGAAUUAGCAUCUCUGAAAAAGGUUUCAAGGAUUCCUGAUAUGUAAUCAUCUGAACAUGAGCUCUGUGUUUGCUGCUAUGGCCAAAAGGAUAAGGUAGUCUUUUGGCUGUAUAAACAGAGGGAUAUUGAGGAGUAGUAGAAAGGUUGCAUCACUCCUUCAUAGGGAAAUGGUGUAACCAUUACAGGAAUCUUGUGUCCUUGAUUCAAGAAAAUGUUGCAAAACUAGGAAGGAUUCAGAGAAGAGCAACUAGAAGGAUUAGAAACCUUGCCUUAUAAGGCAAGUCUUAAGGAAUUCAAUGUAUUUACCUUUGCAAGGGCACUGUUAAAGGGCAGCUUGCUCAUAAUCUAAACAGGAACAGAAAUUUGGUAAUUAAGCCCAUUAAACCAGAGAGAAACAUCUCUUACAUCUCUAGUUGAAACUAGACAAAUUCAGACUCACUGUAAAGGGCAAAAUUUGAACAGUGAGGGGCAGAGGUGUAACAAGUAGUUUCUGUGCCCUGGGUGGUGGCAGUGGCCAGGAUGGUGGCAGUGAUGGGUGGGAGUUGGUGGCCACUGCUGCCAGUUGUGAAUCCCCUCUGAGCUGGCACCUAGGGCUGCUGUCCUGCUUGCCCACCUGUAGUUAUGCUACUAGCAAGGGCAGCCAGUGAUUGAAACAACUUCCACCAUGGAUUGGGAUGAAAUCCUCAUUGCUAGCAAUUUUGAAAUCAUAACAGGAUGUUCUUUUCCACAGGUACAGUCCUAUUGAGGGACAUCCUAUGCUAUGUUAGAACUCAGAAGAAAGCAGUAGUCUGCUUUCGCCUUAUAAUCUCCGAUUAACACGGCACAUGUGCAAUCUCUCAUUCUCCCCCCAGGAAGAGAAGUGUGCACAGUGGAAUAUUUUAAAUUUGGUAGGAUUUAAAAAAAAACCCAAAAAAACUUUGGUCUGUGUUUGCUGGAGGAGGCAGGCCAAGGAAAUACUCAUGGAUUUGGAGCAAGAGGUCUUGAAAUUUCUGAGGUUCGUGCAGGAGUUUGUUCCAAGUCGUUUUAUUUUUUUAAUGUAACUCAGUUCUCCAACUGUAAAAUGGAGAUGAUACCACUUCUCUUCCUCUGAGUAUAGAUGUGAAGCGCUCAGAUGCUAUGGAAAGUGGUGGGGGAGGAGGUGGGAAGAGAGAGAAAUACUAAAGAAGAGAGGGUCCUGGCCUGUGGCCUAGGCAUCUUAAAACUAGUCUAAACUGUACAACUCCAAUUGUGAAGAAGACAAAUGCUGGUUAUGAUGCACACAUGGACCUGCUCUGAAGAAUCACAGGGACACAAAUGAGUCGCUCCAGCUUCUGAGUCACUUUUUGAUGAAAGUAACUCAUAUUAGCACUUAAAGUCAAUGCAAGGAAUUGCUUUUGGCUCUUUUACAUCCCAGAUGUGACUAAUUUGAAACUAAUUUUAAGGAGAGAAAAUGUUUAUCCCCAGGAUGCCAACUCUUAUACUAAGAAGCAAACUUCAGCAAGUUAUGGGAUAUGUGGGGAGUGCAAGUUAAGCCAUGCUGGUAGACUUCCCUGUAAUACAUUAAUUUUGUACCGAAUGCAGAAAGGUCAAACAAACAUACUGUCCAUGGUGAAUAUUUGAUGGCUCACAUCACCACCGCAUCUGAGCAUCAUGCUAGUGUUUAACAUCUUUAACCUCAUGGCAGUGUUGUAGAGCAAGCAGUGUUCGGGUUUUACAAAUAAGAAACUAAGGGCAUUUAUACACAUGCUUCGGUGGUGGUGGUGGAGGGGGUACUUUAAUUAGAGCUGGUCCGAGAGAAACAAUAACUUGCCCAAGGUCUUGCAGGAAGUCGGUAACAGAACAAGGGAUUGAACGGAGGCCUCCCAGGGCUGCUGCCCUCAUCACUGGACUCUAAUGUGCACGAGGCUGCCAGUCUUGUGGUGUUCAAAACUGAAUUCAGCUGAAUUGGACCAGAAGAGUGAUCCUUAGCCUCUGUUACAACGUUCUGCCAGCACAGCUGUGCCGGUCCUAGCGAUCGCACCCCAGAGGUGUUGCAGCUCUGCCAUCAAAGCCUCCAGAUGUAGCAAACCCCCCCAGUUGUUCUUUUUUUUAAAUUUUAAAAUGCAUUUCCUCCCCUUCCCCAACCAUUUCUGACUUUUUCUCUCCCUCUCUCUUCCCUAUAGAUAAGUAUAAGUAAGCUAAGAUGUAGGAUAAGCUUUAACAUUUUAUUUUAAGUAGUAAGUUUUAUUUUUCUCUCCCCACUUUGCAAAUAAAUGACCUGCUAUUUUGAUAUAGAUAUCCACUGUUUUAUAACUGAUAAUUAUUAUGAUUGUAUUGUUUUGUUUUGUUUUUACUGCUUUUAUAUUGUGUGAUGAUUGUUUUAGGCCUAUAUAUGUAAGUUAGCAUAAGUCAUGUCAAGUUUCCAUCUUGUAAUGUCAAGCCUCCAUCUUGUGUCCCCUGACCUAUGACUCACACCUACCCCUCCUAUGUAACUUGGUUCCUGAAUGAAUGGGGAUGAAUGAGGGUGCUUGAGAGACAAUGGCAGUAGGUCUAAAAAUAGGUCCCUCUGAAUGACUGUACCAUCAACACCAGUACCGGGACCAAUGACCCAGCCAUUGAAACCACCCUCAGCAUUCAAGACACAAAAGAUGAGGCAACCUGCCAUUGUGCCAAGGCUGCAUGUGCUCGGUAAGAAUACGUGGAGCCCUCUGGGACAGGACUAACCUUGUCUGGACAGGCCCUCCCCAUAGAUCAGAAGUAGUCUGCCCCAUAAAAAGGGGUAGUAAAGACUGACUCCUUGGGACGCCCUCUCCAUCUGGACCAGCCACAACACCUAUCCACCCAGAGGCCCUGCCGGCGACCCCCCUCUGGACAACACCUACUGGACAAGGACCCCUUUCCAGCCUGUAUAGGUAGCUAUCACCCCCCACCCCCUCUUCAACCAAAGACUUGGACUCUGCUUCUCUUCCCCACCUGGACUCCAACCCUUCCACUGAGUCUCUUUCUUGUGCUGCCAUUGUGAGUGUUUGUGUGCA